rnacentral:rRNA from 1 species
AGUGAACGCUGGCGGCAGGCCUAAUACAUGCAAGUCGAACGGCAGCACAGCAGAGCUUGCUCUGUGGGUGGCGAGUGGCGGACGGGUGAGGAAUACAUGGGAAUCUGCCCAGUCGUGGGGGAUAACGUAGGGAAACUUACGCUAAUACCGCAUGCGCCCUUCGGGGGAAAGCCGGGGACCGUAAGGCCUGGCGCGAUUGGAUGAGCCCAUGUCGGAUUAGCUAGUUGGCGGGGUAAAGGCCCACCAAGGCGACGAUCCGUAGCUGGUCUGAGAGGAUGAUCAGCCACACUGGAACUGAGACACGGUCCAGACUCCUACGGGAGGCAGCAGUAGGGAAUAUUGGUCAAUGGGGAGCAAUCCUGAACCAGCUAUGCCGCGUGUGGGAUGACAGGGCUUCGCCUUGUAAACCACUGUCGGACGGGACGAAAGGAGGCCUCGGGCCUCUGGGACGGUACCGUCAAAGGAAGGGUCGGCGUAACUACGUGCCAGCAGCCGCGGUAAU